GAUGCUGUGCACUAAACUAAUCAUUUUACUUGGAGUUGUACAUUCUAAGAGUUUGAGGAAAUACUGAGGUCUGAUAUGAUAACUCUCAAUCUUAAACGUUGUUUUGUGUUUGGAACGUUACUACACUUGAUACAUACCCUCACCUCACUUACAGAGCUUUGAAAUCGUGGCUGCCCUGAAUCGACAUCACUUACAUACCCUCAAAAACCUGCAGACACUUAACAAUCUGCAUCUGUUCACACUUAAGAGGAAAGAUGCCGAAAGCAAAGGUGAAGACUAACCCAAGAUUGCUCAUAUGCCACAAAUUGAUAUCAUACAUCCAUGAAGAUUGAACUGAUACACAAUGCCUUUCAGAUGAUAUGAUCCAAACUCAAAUUGAACACUACUCUUGUUUUGCAACAUUACUGCACUGGAAAGGCAACUUGAACUCACUUAUAGACCUACCUAUUGGUGACUGCAUUGAAUUGACAUCACCUUGGAAGAGAUGUGUUCCACAUGGAAAAUCUUUCAUUAUAUGCACCUACUUGCAAGAUACCAAAAGGAAACAGGUGAAUACUUGCCCAAGAAUACAGAGGGCCACACUUGGUGAAGGUUUCAUCAGUAAGGAGAACCAUUUCAAAGUUUGUAGAAGAGAAGAAAGAUUUGAUCCAAGAUAUUCCUAAAGAUUGGAAACUUUCAGAGCCACCCAAGAUCCCACAGCCUAUCUUAAUAAUUUGGGGAGACCAAGAUAAGGUAUUCCUAGUAGAACUAGCUCACAAAUUGAAAAGGCAUUUCAGGCGAGGAGGCCCAACUUGUGAUCAUAGAGCAUACUUUUAUUAUAGAGAAGCCCAAUGAAAUAUUUUAAGCACUUGAAAUCCUUUAUCAUUGAUUUGCUUCUACCUCCCAAGCAACACCUAGAACCACUCACACCAUGACGAAGUUAAAAGGAACUAAUGCAACAUUCUCAAUAUAUUAGAAUAUAUUGAAGGAAGGGUGGCCACAUAUGAAGACCCUAUUCCAAGGUCAAAUUUUAGAUUUUUGUGUUUUUCCUAUCACUAUUCCUAUACUAUUACCAGUGCACCUUAUUUGUCAAGAUGAUUAAAAGGGAAUUCCCUAGGAUAACUAGUGUCUCAAGUGAUCUUGAGGUUCAUAAAUUUUUGGUUUCCACAAGAUAGGUGCCAAC